AGGUUGCUAAAUAUAAGACUUACAACAUUGGUUUGAGAUCAUCAUAUGGACAAGAAUGGUUUAAAUUGAAAAAGUGGCAGAGAAGCUUGGAAUUUCAAUUAAUGGUGCUUUGGCUAUCAUUGGUGACUGCUUGAUUGGUUUGCUGUCAACUCUCACAAUUUUGUAAGAUCCUGCUGCCUUGGACUGUGUCGUAACUUUUCUAGUAUUGCGUUGUUUCAGAGAAAUUGUGACAGACUGUUUCUCUAUAAGUUCUGAUGGUGUUGAGAGAUUUGAUUAGGCCAAACCAUAGGGUGUAAAGAUGUGUCAGAGGUAUCUCUAAAGG